UUUGACCAAGAAGGAGAGUGAUGGAGUGCUGCAUCAGAUGACCUGGCCUCCACAAUCACCUGACCUCAACCCAAUUGAGAUGGUUUAGGAUGAGUUGGACCGCAGAGUGAAGGAAAGCAGUCAACAAGUGGUCAGCAUAUGUGGGAACUCCAAGACUGCCAGAAAAAACAUUCCAGACAUAGAUGAGUGUGUUGAGAACCAACAUUUUUUGUGGGGAAUGGAGAAUCGAUCUCAAUCAGCUGGUCAGCUACCUGUACAAGUGUCACACAGGAUUCAGUCGCUAUGGCAACAGACAAACUCAGUGUGCAGGCUGACUACUGAACCACCAUAACAUUCCUUGUCAAGUUUUAUUUACCCAGGCCAAAACCUGAAUGGCAGUUACUGGUGCCAGUGUCCUGCUGGAUUUACUAACUUUAGCAAAACCCAAACUGAGUGUGUAGAGCUUCUGUGACCAGCAUGAAACACAGCCUGGACAGACUCUACCAUGCUUUGAUAGUUUAUUUUCUCUGUUGAGAAACAACUGUUUGGUGUUGAGCAACUCUACGUUUUCUGGACCUACAAGAUCGCUGCCAUCUGGAGAUAUGCUUUUGUCAGUAAGUCAACACACAUGCAAACGCACACACACACUAGAGGUCUACCGAUUAAUCGGAAUGGCUGAUUAAUCAGGGCCGAUUUCAAGUUUUCAUAACAAUCGGAAAUCGGUAUUUUUUGGACACCGAUUUUUUUACACCUUUAUUUAUCGUUAUUUAACUAGGCAAGUCAGUUAAGUACACAUUGUUAUUUUCAAUGAUGGCCUAGGAACGGUGGGUUAACUGCCUUGUUCAGGGGCAGAACUACAGAUUUUUACCUUGUCAGCUCGGGGAUUCAAUCUUGCAAACUUACAGUUAACUAGUCCAACACUCUAACCACCUGAUUACAUUGCACUCCACGAGGAGACUGUGUGUUACACGAAUGCAGUAAGAAGCCACGGUAAGUUGCUAGCUAGCAUCAAACUUAUCAUAUAAAAAACAAUCAAUCAAUCACAAUCACUAGUUAACUACACAUGGUUGAUGAUAUUACUAGUUUAUCUAGCGUGUCCUGCGUUACAUAUAAUCGAUGCAGUGCGUAUUCGUGAAAAAGGACUGUCUUGCUCCAAUGUGUACCUAAACAUAAACAUCAAUGCCUUUCUUAAAAUCAAUACACAAGUAUAUAUUUUUAAACCCGCAUAUGUAGUUAAUAUUGCCUGCUAACCUGGCUCGUUGCGAAGUCUGUGAAAACUAUUUCUUCCUAACAAAGACAGUCAACUUCGCCAAACGGGGGAGGAUUUAACAAAAGCGCAUUUGCAAAAAAAGCACAAUCGUUGCACGAAUGUACCUAACCAUAAACAUCAAAGCCUUUCUUAAAAUCAAUACACAGAAGUAUACAUUUUUAAACCUGCAUAUUUAGCUGAAAGAUAUCCAGGCUAGCAGGCAAUAUUAACCAGGUGAAAUUGUGUCACUUCUCUUGCGUUCAUUACACGCAGAGUCAGUGUAUAUGCAACAGUUUGGGCCGCCUAAUUAUCAGAAUUUUACGUAAUUAUGACAUAACAUUGAAGGUUGUGCAAUGUAACAGGAAUAUUUAGACUUAUGGAUGCCACCCGUUAGAUAAAAUACGGAACAGUUCUGUAUUUCACUGAAAGAAUAAACGUCUUGUUUUCGAGAUGAUAGUUCCCGGAUUCGACCAUAUUAAUGACCUAAGGCUCGUAUUUCUGUGUGUUAUUAUGUUAUAAUUAAGUCUAUGAUUUGAUAGAGCAGUCUGACUGAGCGAUGGUAGGCACCAGCAGGCUCGUAGCAUUCAUUCAAACAGCACUUUCGUGCGUUUUGCCAGCAGCUCGUUACUGUGCUUCAAGCAUUGAGCUGUUUAUGACUUCAAGCCUAACAACUCCCGAGAUUAGGCUGGUGUAACCAAUGUGAAAUGGCUAGCUAGUUAGCAGGUUGCCGCUAAUAGCGUUUCAAACGUCACUCGCUCUGAGACUUGGAGUAGUUGUUUCCCUUUCUCUGCAUGGGUAACGCUGCUUCGAGGGUGGCUGUUGUUGAUGUGUUGCUGGUUCGAGCCCGAGUAGGGACGAGGAGAGGGACUUAAGCUAUACUGUUACACUGGCAAUACUAAAGUGCCUAUAAGAACAUCCAAUAGUCAAAGGUAUAUGAAAUACAAAUGGUAUAGAGAGAAAUUGUCCUAUAAUUCCUAUAAUAACUACAACCUAAAACUUCUUACCUGGGAAUAUUGAAUACUCCUGUUAAAAUAAACCACCAGCUUUCAUAUGUUCUGAGCAAGGAAUUUAAAAGUUACCUUUUUUACAUGGCACAUAUUGCACUUUUACUUUCUUCUCCAACACUUUUUUUUUGCAUUAUUUAAACCAAAUUGAACAUGUUUCAUUUUUUUUAGGCUAAAUGGAUUUUUAUUGAUGUAUUAUAUUAAGUUAAAAUAAGUGUUUAUUCAGUAUUGUUGUAAUUGUCAUAAUUACAAAUACAUGUUUUUUUUUUAAAUCGGACGACUAAUCAGUAUCGGCUUUUUUGGUCCUCCAAUAAUCGGUAUCGGCAUUGAAAAAUCAUAAUCGGCCGACCUCUAGCACACACGUACAAAUCCCUUAUGUCGCUCUUCUCUUUUACUGGAUAAUACCACUGAUGUUGUUCAACUGGGCCUCCAGUCCAAUGGUCACCGUAGUAGCAGUGAAGUGACUAAGUUACUGAGAACGAUUGAAAUCUCUAUCAGACUGAUCGCUCCACUGUUGACAGAGAACGUGACCAGGAUAGAGACCAACCACACAGGUAAUAUAAACACACUGAGCACAUGCUGACCACAUAUUUACAAUGGGUCGGCAGGUAGCCUAGUGGUGAGAAUGUUGAACCAGUAACCAGAAGUUUGCUGGAUCCAAUCCCCGAGCUGACACGGUAAAAAUCUGUCAUUCUGCCCCUGAGCAAGGCAGUUAACCCAUUGUUCCAUGGGCGACAAAGACGUGGAUGUCGAUUUAAGACAGCUGCCCACACCUCUCUGAUUCAGAGGGGUUGGGUUAAAUGCGGAAGACACAAUUCAGUUCACAAGAGCCAGCAGCUCAUGUCCGGUGUCCGUUAGCAACUCCAACACAACAUACCUGCCACAACAGGUUCAUCUCACCUUCAAUCACCUGCAGUCCAGUGAUGUUGACCCCACCUGUGUUUAUUGGUCGGAUGAGAAUGGACCGGGGGUGUGGUCUGGGCGGGGUUGCACCUUAGUGAUUUCGAACUCCACCCACACUGUGUGCUCCUGCA